rnacentral:rRNA from 1 species
CCUACGGGAGGCAGCAGUGAGGAAUAUUGGUCAAUGGACGGAAGUCUGAACCAGCCAUGCCGCGUGCAGGAAGACGGCUCUAUGAGUUGUAAACUGCUUUUGUACAAGGGUAAACCUGAAUACGUGUAUUCAGCUGAAAGUACUGUACGAAUAAGGAUCGGCUAACUCCGUGCCAGCAGCCGCGGUAAUACGGAGGAUCCAAGCGUUAUCCGGAUUUAUUGGGUUUAAAGGGUGCGUAGGCGGAUUGAUAAGUUAGAGGUGAAAUGUCCGAGCUUAACUCGGGAACUGCCUCUAAUACUGUUGAUCUAGAGAGUAGAUGCGGUAGGCGGAAUGUAUGGUGUAGCGGUGAAAUGCAUAGAUAUCACGCAGAACCCCGAUUGCGAAGGCAGCCUUCCGACGCCCAACUGACGCUGAGGCACGAAAGUGCGGGGAGCGAACAGGAUUAGAUACCCUGGUAGUC